rnacentral:piRNA from 1 species
AAAUGGAGUUCAAAGGUUGUCGUUGA